CAUUAUCUGUAUUGAAUUGCAGUGCAUUUUCAUCAUCUGGUGCUACCUGCCGACGGAGUUCAACGGUUCACUGAUCAUCUACAACCGCAUUAUCCGUCCGUAUUAUCAGAAACAUCACAACCGCAUCGAUGAUAUCGCCAACUCAGGUAAACAAUUGUAGAGCUGUACAAUUCAUGUAUACAAAUCUUCUCGCCUGGUAGCGGAUGCAGUUCGGAAGACCAACUAAGCCUCCACUAUCUAUCAAAGUUGGGGAGUGAAAGUACAAAAUCUUUCUGCACUCGCUUAUGUAAGAGCUUUGCGGCACUCAUUGGUCUAAAUAUAAAAAUGUAUUACGGCGGUUGUUCACUGAUGCAAGUUAUCAUUCAAUAGCCUGUUUAACUGUGGACAAACCAAGGAAUAAGGAAUUUAAUUAUUGACCAUUAAACGUUUGUAUCACUUGAUGCAUAUUAACUAUAUUGCAUUUAAAUUUUGAAAGCAUUAUGGCCAUGGUAUUUGAUAAAUUGACCAAUGGUCAAAAUUAUAUUGCAUUUUCUUUGGUCUAUUUGACACACCGCAUCCACUGGUUGAAUGGUUAGUGACCAUUAAAAUCAUAGCCUGUAGAAA